rnacentral:rRNA from 1 species
UACGUAGGGGGCGAGCGUUGUCCGGAUUUACUGGGCGUAAAGAGCGCGCAGGCGGCUGGUCAAGUCCGAUGUGAAAGCUCCCGGCUUAACUGGGAAAUUGCAUCGGAAACUGAUCGGCUGGAAGGUGGGAGAGGGUAGCGGAAUUCCCGGUGUAGUGGUGAAAUGCGUAGAUAUCAGGAGGAACACCUGCGGUGUAGACGGCUUACUGGACGGUAACUGACGCUGAGGCACGAAAGCGUGGGUAGCAAACAGG